rnacentral:rRNA from 1 species
CUAACUCCGUGCCAGCAGCCGUAGUAAGGGGGGGGGGAGUGUUCUUCGGAAUGACUGGGCGUAAAGGGCACGUAGGUGGUGAAUCUGGUUGAAAGUGAAAGUCACCAAAAAGUGGCAGAAUGCUCUUGAAACCAAUUCACUUGAGUGAGACAGAGGAGAGUGGAAUUUCGUGUGUAGGGGUGAAAUCCAUAGAUCUACGAAGGAACGCCAAAAGCGAAGGCAGCUCUCUGGGUCCCUACCGACGUUGGGGUGCGAAAGCAU